rnacentral:rRNA from 1 species
CACGUAGGGCGCAAGCGUUGUCCGGAAUUAUUGGGCGUAAAGAGCUCGUAGGUGGUUUGCUGCGUCCGCUGUGAAAACCCAAGGCUCAACCUUGGGCUUGCAGUGGAUACGGGCAGACUAGAGGUAGGUAGGGGAGAAUGGAAUUCCCGGUGUAGCGGUGAAAUGCGCAGAUAUCGGGAGGAACACCGGUGGCGAAGGCGGUUCUCUGGGCCAUUACUGACGCUGAGGAGCGAAAGCGUGGGGAGCGAACAGG